rnacentral:misc_RNA from 1 species
CUUCAAUUCAAUUCAUAACUAUUUAUCAAUCACGGUCAAACCAUAAUCAGGUCUAAUCACUGCAAAACAGAUAAGGGGAUAAUUCAAAAAAACAUUGUGACUUGAAACUACUGAUCAUAACACUGUACAGUACAGGCAACAUAGUCACGAGAGUAUACCAAAUAAAACAUGUACUAAGAAAGUUGCACAAGGCCGAAAACAAUCAUCAAAAAAACUUAGCACAAGAUCAACAUAGCCGAGUUUCAAACUUCAAAUUUAUGCCCAUGCUGAAGAGCUCCUGGCACAAUAACUUGGCCCCAUAAGGUACAUUAACCCUGACUAUAUCAUCAACAGACUCACAAACUCGGCAGUAGGGACCCCUAAUCUUGCGGCCACCAGGCACUCCCCGUUGAAUCACAUUUGCCACAUUUUUGCAUUUCUGGCAAAUAUGCAUCUGUGAAGAAUCACUGAGAGUAAAAAGACGCUCAUGCAGGUUCGCAGAUGCACCAUGAGCUAUAAGGCAGUCCCGCUCCAUCUCACCAAACUUGAUACCACCAAAACGCUUUCGGUCUGCAACUGGCUGUCUAGUGAGUGGGUGCACAGGCCCAGUGUUACGAAAUUUUACUUUGUCUUCAGCCAUGUGGAUCAACCGCUGGUAGAAAGUUGGACCCAUAAAAAUGAGAGAACGAACCAUUUCACCAGUUCGACCGUUGUAAACUCUCUCAUUUCCCCAUCUUGGAAAUCCGGCUCUCUGGCAUGAAUAUCAAAAGAACAAAUUAUUCUGGGAAUCAUUUACAGAAAACAACAGGAGACAAUCUCCAAAAUGUUCAAAUAUGGAAAUUAUCUAUGAGGUAGUAAAUUCAGAAUGAACUAAACCAUGCAAUCUAAAAAUGAACUGUUGCAGGAUUAGUCUGGCAACCAAAUGACCCAGAAGAAGAUGGCAUUGACAUUUUUUGUUUCUACCUCUAAAGCAAUUCAGAUAAGACAAAAAUCUAAAAAUGAUUUAUUUAACAAAUUUCACAUGGUGCAUCAGUAGUGAAUAUUAUGACAUGAACCAAAGGAAAUGUCACCCAUGAAGCUGGUCUGUGAUUGCUUCAACAGACAGCGUGGAGAAAGGGGUGGCAUAUCUCAAUGAUCCACCACAGGCAAUUCCCUUUCCCAAAGCAGCCUCUAAGAGUUGACCAGGAGUUUGUCGUGAAGGAAAUGCAUGUGGGUUUUUAACAAUAUCAGGAACUAUUCCCUGUCUGGUGAAAGGGAAGUUCUCUUGAGUUGCCAAAAAGCCUAGAACACCCUUUUGUCCAUGCAUGCUAGAAAACUUGUCUCCAAGACAUGGAGAACGAACCUGCCUCAGAGACACCACAGCAAAAUUCUUCCCCUCAUCAUUAGAAGACAAUACAACUUUCUGGACCAUGCCCCUCUCAGUGUGCUUUAAUUUCAUACUAUGAUCAACCCCAGAUUCAGAACACCUCCCAAUAACAAUAUCACCACUUUGUAGAUUAGCUCCAAUGAAAGGAAAACCAUCAUCAUCAAGACUGUCAACACGUCCAAACUUACUCUGUAUCUUCCCAAAAUUCACAGGAUCAUCAAACUUUCGCCUCUUGUCUAAUAGUUCUUUAUUAUCAACAUCAGCCUUAUAACUUCUGAUAUGUUCAGAUCGAAACAUACCACGCUCUAAAGAAGAGCGAUUCAUUACCAAGGAGUCCUCUUGAUUGUAUCCUAGAUGAACAUUGACUGCCACAAUAGCAUUCUGACCAUUAUAUAACUCCGGUUUUGGCAGCAUUCCAUUAUGACCUCGUUGGUAUCCAGCUUUUCCAAGACAAUCAGAAGUCACAGUCCUAAAAAGUGGCCUCUGGGGAUAGUGCAAUUGAUGAGACAGGGUAUCCACUCUGAUGUUGGGAUUUGUUGUGGAAAAACCUAUAGCCUGCUGAGAAUGUUUUUGAGCCUGGUAUAGAACUCUUCUUGCAUGGUCAUGAUUGGCAAAGGGAAUGAUCCCACAACUUAAACCCAAUAAGAAGGACAUGUCAAGUUCACAGUGUGUGUACUUCAGAGAUUUCUUUCCAUCAGCUCCCGCUAGAAGAAAUUUAACUCCCCAGGCAGUGCUGCAAUCCUCUUCCUCUUCUGUUCCAACAAAUUCAACAAUCCCCUUGUCGAGAAGAGAAUGGAAGGUGUAAUUUCCCCCUUUAAAUGCUUUUAUCUUAGUUAAAUUCUUAACAACCAAAAGGGGACGUAAAAUCCUUCCAGCAUCAGAAUAUAUGCGCACUUCUCUUUGCUGUUCAUCUCUUUUGAUUUCCACCUGUUGAGGCAACCUCUUCCUCUGCCGUAAACGUCUAAGCUCAGAAACAAAUAAAUGAGAAUCUUCACAAACUCCAACCCAUUCCCCAUUCAGAAAUACUCUAAACUUCCUGUCCAGUUUAGUAUGGGUAUCAUCAACAAGUUUCUCCAUUCCACAAUCAAACAAUUUGUCAACUAGAGGUUCUGAUAUGUUUGUGCUAACAAGUCCAGUGGCAGCCAAAUUCUUUACAAGUCCACAGUUUUCACCAUCCGGAGUAGAAAGAAAGCAAACCCUACCCCAGUGAGAAGGGUGCGGGUAUCUAGCAUCUCCAACCUUCCCUGUGUACUGAACCUGCUGUCGUGUUUUCCGCAAAUCGACCAUUGUUUGUAAUGGAUUUGCACGCCCCAGAUUUGCCACUACACCAGAUAUCCUUUCCAUCCUCUUGAAUGGAUGUGACCAUGCCCCAGUUGAGAAUGCUCUCGAUAGACCAUUCGUGAUUAUAGAAGCAUCCAAAUAAUGUUCAAUUGGGCGCACAUCACGAUCUCCAUAGAGGUCUUUCUGCAAAGCCUUGGCCAUGCGCCUCCGUGCAUGUGCAAUGUGUACUUUUAACUCUCGCUCAAGCAACUCAGCAGCCAACUCAAAUCUCUUGUUUCUAAAACUAUCCCUGUUAUCACAUUUUCUUUGGCCACUAUAUGCCUGUAAAAGGCACUUUACCAUAUAACCUAGAAACCGGGCCUUUUGCCUAGGGCUAUGGAGACUGGGAAACAAAUACAAACUAACGAAAUCUUCAGUUUCCUCUGGUGGAAAUCUGGUUCCUUGUAUUUGCUUAAUAACAUAAUUCAGAGCAGUUCUCUCCCUACGAAACCACUCACAUUUCUCAUCAGCAUCAUGAAUUGAAGCGAAAAAUAUAUUCAUAAUGCUGGCAUUCUCUGUAUUAUAAUCAAUCAGAUCUACAACUUCUUUGUCUGACCUGAUUCCAAGGGCGAAAAACAAUAUCCAUAAAGGGAUCUCUGUUGACAUGAAAUAUACAAUAAGUCCUUUCUUUUCUCCUUUAAUGCUGUCAUCUUUAGAGAGCCCCACUAAUCUAACAAUUAAUCUAUUCCUUUUAAUUUCAGACUUAUAUGCAACUGUCCAGCCCUGAGCAUUUGAGAUCCAAAGUCUCUUUAAACAAAUUUGUUCUUGUGCAAUAAAAACCUUCUCUGCACCCUUGAUCAAAAAAUAACCUCCAUGAUCAAAAUCACAAUCACCUUUUUCAACUGUUUUCAUCCAGCAAAGGUCAGACUUCACCAUUACAGGCAUCCUUCCAAUUAUGAUAUCUCUGUUAUCAGUGCUUAGAACUACCUUGUCAACAAAUUGAUCUUUCCCAGUUUUAAACUUAUCACUUCUAACAACUUUCUGAGUGUACACCUCUACAGAAACAUUCACUUUCAUCCUGGAUGAAUACGUCAUAUUCUGAAGUCUCGCAUGCCUGGGGAGCAUAUUGUGUUCAAUACCAUCCGAACCAGCCCAAAAGCUUGGUUUAUCAAGGCUGACCUUCCCGAACCUAACUGAAGCAUAUCGCCAUUCAUUCUCUCCCUUCUUUGAUGGGUCAUAUCCAGGCUCAACGAUCAGCUCACCAAAAGAAUCAAAGGCCUUCUGAAGACCAUUGUGGAUGAAGUCAUUGUAGGAGUUAAUCUGGUGACUAAUAAGACCAUACUCAUUGAAGAACAAGGUCGCAGCCUUUUUACAGAAAUCUUUUAGAAAACCUUCACCCAAAUCGCGUAAGCUAGUGGUUAAGUCCAUAAAGUCAAUAUCAUCAUCACCAUCAUCAUCGUCGUCAAAAUCUAUCUCCAUAUCAAGUCCAUUUGGGAGCUUCUCACCCUUACUACUCGUGCCUAUGUCUUCUUCCAUGGCAUCCACUGACUCCCCCAUUUAAUUCAAAUAGUGACUAGAAUAGAAUGUAAUUCCCAAAGGAGAGGAACCCACGAACUCUUAUCGAAAAAAAAUUUGAGGUUUUAUAAGCGAAUUUGAGGGCUUAAAAACCCUUGUGUUAACAAUGCAUGUAGAGAUUCUAGGGUUUUGUUUUGAUUUUAUGCUCUUCUCUCAACACACAGGAAGUGUGAGCCACCGAGAAGAGGAGGAAAAUUGCAG